rnacentral:rRNA from 1 species
AUACGUAGGGGGCGAGCGUUGUCCGGAAUGAUUGGGCGUAAAGGGCGCGUAGGCGGCCCGGUAAGUCUGGAGUGAAAGUCCUGUUUUUAAGAUGGGAAUUGCUUUGGAUACUGUCGGGCUUGAGUGCAGGAGAGGUAAGUGGAAUUCCCAGUGUAGCGGUGAAAUGCGUAGAGAUUGGGAGGAACACCAGUGGCGAAGGCGACUGACUGGACUGUAACUGACGCUGAGGCGCGAAAGUGUGGGGAGCAAACAGGAUUAGAUACCCUGGUAGUCCGCACGGUAAACGAUGAUUACCCGCUGUCGGCGGCAGACAGUCGGCGGCCAAGCGAAAGCGAUAAGUAAUCCACCUGGGGAGUACGCCGGCAACGGUGAAACUCAAAGGAAUUGGCGGGG